UUUUCAGAAAAAAAGUUUACAAAAAAAACGUUAAGUACUGAAUAAUAAACUAUUUGAUUGGUGUGAAAAAUAAAUAUUAAUACCUAAAUCUAUUUAUUUAAAAAAAUUUGAAAUAAAACGAAAUAUUGCCAACAAAAAUUAGUAGAGACAAAAAGGAUUAAUUACACUUAACCAACGGCAGUUUUGAAAAAGAUAAUCGUUUGGAUUUUUUCUUUAAAAAAGGUAAAUAAUUCAAAUUCUUUUCUUCAACUUCUUUGGAAGAUUUUUAUUAAAAUAAAAAAAAAUAUUUUAAUUUAAGCAAAAGUAAGUUAAACCUUAAAAGAUUAAAGAAAAAUCAACUAAAGCCGUUUUAACAAACACCUACUUAACACUUUAUUUCGUAUAAACCACAAAGAGUCAACUUUAGAAAAUAAUGACAUUAAAAUCUAUCUUAUUUAAAUAAUAACUUUCCUUUAUUUAGAAAGAGGAAUUUUAUUUAAGUUAUUUUAAAAAUAAAAUUUUGUUUUAUCUUUAAAAACAUCUUAACUGAACCCCUAAAAUUAUGCUAUAGAUUUUUUGCUUUAAUAUUCAACUUAAGUGUAUUUCAAACUAUUUAUUCUUCAUGAUAAUUAAACUAAUAAAGUUAUAUAUUAUUAAAAGAUUACUAACAUACCAGAAAUGCAUGUAUUUGUAUU